rnacentral:rRNA from 1 species
UUUAAUUCGAAGCAACGCGAAGAACCUUACCUAAGCUUGACAUCCCAAUGACAUCUCCUUAAUCGGAGAGUUCCCUUCGGGGACAUUGGUGACAGGUGGUGCAUGGUUGUCGUCAGCUCGUGUCGUGCGAUGUUGGGUUAAGUCCCGCAACGAGCGCAACCCUUGUCUUUAGUUGCCAUCAUUAAGUUGGGCACUCUAGAGAGACUGCCAGGGAUAACCUGGAGGAAGGUGGGGAUGACGUCAAAUCAUCAUGCC